AGCUCAUCUCUUAGCUCGUCGUCCGUCGUCUGUUAAGUCUCAGGCCAACCGCUGCUCCCGGCUCCUCGCCAAGUGUAGGCGCCUCGCAACCCUCAACUACUCAGUUCUCGGGACCCGAAAGUCAAAGGUCGGUGCUUAUUGGCCAGUGACCACUUCUCAUCGCUUCUUAAGUAUUAACUUCAUCUAGAAAUCCUUAUAUAUGUUAUUUUCAAUUUCAAAUACGAGAUGAGUAUUAAAUAUUGAGGGGUGUGCUUGUAAGUUGUAAUUGUCAUACCCUGUAAAUAU
rnacentral:misc_RNA from 1 species